UUCCGGUUGAUCCUGCCGGACCCGACCGCUGUCGGGGUAGGGCUAAGCCAUGGGAGUCUUACAUCCCCGGGUAAGGGGAUGUGGCGGACGGCUGAGUAACACGUGGCUAACCUACCCUCGGGAGGGGGAUAACCCCGGGAAACUGGGGAUAAUCCCCCAUAGGGGAGGAGUCCUGGAACGGUUCCUCUCCGAAGGGGAUAUAGGCUAUUUCCGCUUAUAUCCGCCCGAGGAUGGGGCUGCGGCCCAUCAGGCUGUUGGCGGGGUAAUGACCCGUCAAACCUAUAACGGGUAGGGGCCGUGGGAGCGGGAGCCCCCAGUUGGGCACUGAGACAAGGGCCCAGGCCCUACGGGGUGCACCAGGCGGGAAACCUCCGCAAUGCGGUAACCCGUGACGGGGUCACCCCGAGUGCUCCUCUCAUGGGGAGCUUUUCCCCGCUGCAGGAAGGCGGGGGUAAUAAGUGGGGGGCAAGACUGGUGUCAGCCGCCGCGGUAAUACCAGCCCCACGAGUGGUCGGGACGGUUAUUGGGCCUAAAGCGCCCGUAGCCGGCCCAGCAAGUUCCUGCCUAAAUCACCGGGCUCAACCCGGUGACUGGUGGGAAUACUGCUGGGCUAGGAGGCGGGAGAGGCCGGGGGUACUCCUAGGGUAGGGGCGAAAUCCUAUAAUCCUAGGAGGACCACCAGUGGCGAAGGCGUCCGGCUGGAACGCGCUCGACGGUGAGGGGCGAAAGCUGGGGGAGCAAACCGGAUUAGAUACCCGGGUAGUCCCAGCUGUAAACGAUGCGGACUAGGUGUUGGACGGACCUAGGGUCCGUCCAGUGUCGCAGGGAAGCCGUUAAGUCCGCCGCCUGGGGAGUACGGCCGCAAGGCUGAAACNUUAAAGGAAUUGGCGGGGGAGCACCACAAGGGGUGGAGCCUGCGGCUUAAUUGGAGUCAACGCCGGGAACUUUACCGGGGGCGACAGCAGGAUGACGGCCAGGCUAAUGACCUUGCCCGACGCGCUGAGAGGAGGUGCACGGCCGUCGCCAG
rnacentral:rRNA from 1 species